GAUGAACGCUGGCGGCGUGCCUAAUACAUGCAAGUCGAGCGAACGGACGAGAAGCUUGCUUCUCUUAUGUUAGCGGCGGACGGGUGAGUAACACGUGGAUAACCUACCUAUAAGACUGGGAUAACUUCGGGAACCCGGAGCUCAUACCGGAUAAUAUUUCGAACCGCAUGGUUCAACAGUGAAAGACGGUUUUGCUGUCACUUAUAGAUGGAUCCUCGCUGCAUUAGCUAGUUGGUAAGGUAACGGCUUACCAAGGCAACGAUGCAUAGCCGACCUGAGAGGGUGAUCGGCCACACUGGAACUGAGACACGGUCCAGACUCCUACGGGAGGCAGCAGUAGGGAAUAUUCCGCAAUGGGCGAAAGCCUGACGGAGCAACGCCGCGUGAGUGAUGAAGGUCUUCGGAUCGUAAAACUCUGUUAUUAGGGAAGAACAUAUGUGUAAGUAACUGUGCACAUCUUGACGGUACCUAAUCAGAAAGCCACGGCUAACUACGUG
rnacentral:rRNA from 1 species